GGCCUAUUAGCUCAGCUGGUUAGAGCGUCUCUCAUAACGCGAAGGUCGCAGGUUCGAGACCUGCAUGGGCCA
rnacentral:tRNA from 1 species